rnacentral:rRNA from 1 species
AAUGAACGUUGGCGGCGUGGAUUAGGCAUGCAAGUCGUGCGAGAAGCCCCCUUCGGGGGGUGGACAGCGGCGAAAGGGAGAGUAACGCGUGGAUUACCUACCCCCGGGACCGGGAUAGCCGCGGGAAACUGCGGGUAAUACCGGAUAACGUCUCCGGACCAAAGGUGAGAUUCCGCCUGGGGAUGGGUCCGCGUCCUAUUAGCUAGUUGGUGGGGUAAUGGCCUACCAAGGCAACGAUGGGUACGAGGUGUGAGAGCAUGACCUCGCUCACUGGGACUGAGACACUGCCCAGACACCUACGGGUGGCAG